AGAGGAAAAGAACACAGACUUAGUGGAUGGACUAAAUUAAAAGCAAUGUGACUCUAGAGCUGUUCUGAGUUGGCCUACAUUUGACCCCUUUGGGAAAACUCACAUGGAAUUUGGACAGGCUAAAAUGGCAAAACCUUCUUAGCUCUGGCUCAACAAUGAUCUGCAGGCCAAAUAGGACACUAGAUUCCCCCAGGUUCCUUCUUUACCUGCCAAAGUCCUUUUUUCCGAAGGUGUGGGGGAGGGAGGGUGUUCAAAUCUAUCAAAGCAAACAGGAUUGACCUACUGAGAUCCAACUUCGUCUGUGCUGUGUCACUGUACAGGCUAGAGAAAAAGCAAAUUGUGUCCUGGGAAGGAGGCCAAUUUCUAAGUACUGUGACUACAAAGAAUGUGACAUUCUUAAAGUGAAGGCAGUUUGGAUAAACUGGAGCUCACAGAAUCCUCCAACUAUCCUUGCCAUUGGUUUCUGUGAUUUUAUUUUUAAAGAAAAAUUGGCGGGGUGUGGGGCGCACGCCUCUCUAACCCAACAGCACUCAGGAAAGAGGUGGAUCCCUCUGAGUUCCAGGCUGGCCAAGGCUACAGAGAAAAGAAAAAUUGAUUCGAAAAAGCCACGCGGAAGCGUCCUUAGGCUCCUGGCAAACACACAAUCUUAAAUGCAAACGGAAAUACUAGAACACUCCAUUUAAAAAAAAAAAAAAAAAA
rnacentral:lncRNA from 1 species